CCUACGGGAGGCAGCAGUGGGGAAUAUUGGACAAUGGGGGGAACCCUGAUCCAGCGACGCCGCGUGAGUGAAGAAGUAUUUCGGUAUGUAAAGCUCUAUCAGCAGGGAAGAAAAUGACGGUACCUGACUAAGAAGCCCCGGCUAACUACGUGCCAGCAGCCGCGGUAAUACGUAGGGGGCAAGCGUUAUCCGGAUUUACUGGGUGUAAAGGGAGCGUAGACGGUGCAGCAAGUCUGAUGUGAAAGGUCGGGGCCCAACCCCGGGACUGCAUUGGAAACUGUUGAUCUUGAGUACUGGAGAGGCAGACGGAAUUCCUAGUGUAGCGGUGAAAUGCGUAGAUAUUAGGAGGAACACCAGUGGCGAAGGCGGUCUGCUGGACAGCAACUGACGGUGAGGCGCGAAAGCGUGGGGAGCAAACAGGAUUAGAUACCCCUGUAGUC
rnacentral:rRNA from 1 species